GACGAACGCUGGCGGCGUGCUUAACACAUGCAAGUCGAACGGAAAGGCCCUGCUUUUGUGGGGUGCUCGAGUGGCGAACGGGUGAGUAACACGUGAGUAACCUGCCCUUGACUUUGGGAUAACUUCAGGAAACUGGGGCUCUUACCGGAUAUGAGCUCCUGCUGCAUGGUGGUGGUUGGAAAGUUUCGGCGGUUGUGGAUGUACUCGCGGCUUAUCAGCUUGUUGGUGGGGUAGUGGCUUACCAAGGCUUCGACGGGUAGCCGGCCUGAGAGGGUGAACGGCGACAAGGGGACUGAGAUACGGCGCAGACGGCUACGGGAGGCAGCAGGGGGGAAUAUUGCACAAUGGGCGGAAGCCUGAGGCAGAAACGCCGCGUGCGGGAUGACGGGCUUCGGGUUGUAAACCGAUGUCGAAUGUGACGAGGAGUGAGUGACGGUAAUAGGUAAAGAAGCAACGGCUAACUACGUG
rnacentral:rRNA from 1 species